rnacentral:rRNA from 1 species
UGCAGCGACGCCGCGNUGGGGGAUGAAGGCCUUCGGGUUGUAAACCCCUUUCAGCAGGGAAGAAGCGAAAGUGACGGUACCUGCAGAAGAAGCGCCGGCUAACUACGUGCCAGCAGCCGCGGUAAUACGUAGGGCGCAAGCGUUGUCCGGAUUUAUUGGGCGUAAAGAGCUCGUAGGCGGUUUGUCGCGUCUGCUGUGAAAACCCGAGGCUCAACCUCGGGCCUGCAGUGGGUACGGGCAGACUAGAGUGCGGUAGGGGAGACUGGAAUUCCUGGUGUAGCGGUGGAAUGCGCAGAUAUCAGGAGGAACACCGAUGGCGAAGGCAGGUCUCUGGGCCGCAACUGACGCUGAGGAGCGAAAGCAUGGGGAGCGAACAGGAUUAGAUACCCUGGUAGUCCAUGCCGUAAACGUUGGGCACUAGGUGUGGGGCUCAUUCCACGAGUUCCGUGCCGCAGCAAACGCAUUAAGUGCCCCGCCUGGGGAGUACGGCCGCAAGGCUAAAACUCAAAG